AAAGGAAUAGACGGGGACCCGCACAAGCAGCGGAGCAUGUGGUUUAAUUCGAAGCAACGCGAAGAACCUUACCAAGACUUGACAUCGAGUGCCGUCCAUAGAGAUGUGGAUUUCCCAGCAAUGGGACACAAAGACAGGUGGUGCAUGGUUGUCGUCAGCUCGUGUCGUGAGAUGUUCGGUUAAGUCCGGCAACGAGCGCAACCCUUAUGGUAUGUUGCCAAUAUUCAGUUAGGAACUCAUACCAGACUGCCGUGGUCAACACGGAGGAAGGUGGGGAUGAUGUCAAAUCAUCAUGCCCCUUACGUCUUGGGCUACACACGUGCUACAAUGGGCGCUACAGAGAGCAGCAGACCGGCAACGGCGCGCAAAUCUCAAAAAAGCGUUCUCAGUUCGGAUUGAGGGCUGCAACCCGCCCUCAUGAAGCAGGAGUUGCUAGUAAUCCCGAAUCAGCAUGUCGGGGUGAAUGCGUUCCCGGGUCUUGUACACACCGCCCGU
rnacentral:rRNA from 1 species